rnacentral:rRNA from 1 species
CUACGGGAGGCAGCAGUGGGGAAUCUUGCACAAUGGAGGAAACUCUGAUGCAGCGAUGCCGCGUGAGUGAAGAAGGCCCUUGGGUUGUAAAGCUCUUUUGUCGGGAAAGAUAAUGACUGUACCCGAAGAAUAAGGUCCGGCUAACUUCGUGCCAGCAGCCGCGGUAAUACGAAGGGACCUAGCGUAAUUCGGAAUUACUGGGCGUAAAGCGCGCGUAGGCGGUUAAGUAAGUUAAUUGUGAAAGCCCAAAGCUCAACUUUGGAAUUGCAAUUAAAACUACUUAGCUAGAGUUUAUCAGAGGAAAGCGGAAUACAUAGUGUAGAGGUGAAAUUCGUAGAUAUUAUGUAGAACACCAGUUGCGAAGGCGGCUUUCUGGGAUAACACUGACGCUGAGGUGCGAAAGUAUGGGUAGCGAAGAGGAUUAGAUACCCUCGUAGUCCAUACCGUAAACGAUGAUUGUUAGAUGUUGGGAAUUUAUUUUCAGUAUCACAGCUAACGCGUUAAACAAUCCGCCUGGGGAGUACGACCGCAAGGUUAAAACUCAAAGGAAUUGACGGA